rfam:Enterococcus italicus DSM 15952 genomic scaffold SCAFFOLD1, whole genome shotgun sequence.
AAAUGAAAGCAGAAGCACCCGCUUCUCGCCUUGUAGCAAUUGUUGCUGGGCAGAUAGUUAUCCAAUUUACUUGGGUUACGUGCGGGUUCGUAUACGAGCUCGUUUUUUUGUACCCCA